AUUGAACGCUGGCGGAAUGCUUUACACAUGCAAGUCGAACGGCAGCACGGGGGCAGCCCUGGUGGCGAGUGGCGAACGGGUGAGUAAUACAUCGGAACGUGCCCGGUCGUGGGGGAUAACGUAGCGAAAGUUACGCUAAUACCGCAUACGAUCUGAGGAUGAAAGCGGGGGACCUUCGGGCCUCGCGCGAUCGGAGCGGCCGAUGUCAGAUUAGGUAGUUGGUGGGGUAAAGGCCUACCAAGCCGACGAUCUGUAGCUGGUCUGAGAGGACGACCAGCCACACUGGGACUGAGACACGGCCCAGACUCCUACGGGAGGCAGCAGUGGGGAAUUUUGGACAAAGGGCGCAAGCCUGAUCCAGCCAUUCCGCGUGCAGGACGAAGGCCUUCGGGUUGUAAACUGCUUUUGUACGGAACGAAAAGGCUCUGGCUAAUACCUGGGGCUCAUGACGGUACCGGAAGAAUAAGCACCGGCUAACUACGUG
rnacentral:rRNA from 1 species